UCGAUUUCACGACAAUGAUUGAUGACAAUACGCAAAUUUGUAAGGUAACAUAUAUUUAAUAUGAUAUAUUGCAAAUGACGGGAAAUUGCCAUCAGAGUGUGAAGCUAAGAAGAUAUUCUAGGCAUAAUUCCCUUUACCUGAUCAAGAUAGAGGGCUCAUGGCAGAUGCGACCGAUCGACAGGGGAUCCAGACUCCUCCAAGGCACCUACCCCCAUAUCUGGAGUUAUGAGAUUGAUCACUGUUCGUUAUCUUCACCUUGCACUGGUGACAUAUCAAGGAAUCUGAGGUAUUGAGCGUAUGUCUAUAUACUUGGAGUACUUCAACAUCGCCAGCGUAGUAAAGUAACUUGAGUUUAAUGUUAUAUAGUUCCGAUAUGCACGAGAGGAAAUUGCUUUGCUGCAUUCAGGGUGUCAAUAUGUACAUUUUCCCCGAAAUAGGUAUCGGAACGUGAAAUUAAUUUCCCUUUGGCCUAUAUGGUAAAUUAUUAACAUGCACUAUUUCUUUUUUUAAUCGAUUCUUCAACCUUGGAUAACUAAUCUCAUUAUUUAGUAAUUACAAACAUGCAGAUCGACACUGGCAGAAAGUUCGAAACCAAGGGUAAGAGACUAGGGUACUCAGUUACAUGUUAAACCUAUGAUAAGAAAAUUUGUUCUUAAUUGUGGCUCUUAAAGGAUGAUAUAAUCAAAACGCAUGGGUUUUUAUUAAACCUUUUUGGGGUUCUCUUUAUGGCACUUUCUCGUUCCUUCACAUUCACAUUAAGAAUUAAGAUGCAUUUUCAUCACUGUUCGUUAUCUUCACCUUGCACACAAAUCCCGUUACGUCAGGUUCAGAUGAUGUUUGAAGGAUUACCACACAUUGAAGCAUCGUUAAACAAUUUUACAUGGGUUUUUACGACAUCACCUUCACAUGUCGUUAAGUUGUUUAAUAUAAAGAACAAUUUUGAUAUCUGCAUUGCUAACGAUU